GGAUUGGCUGAGAUUGUCAAAAUUGAUGAUCAGCCCAGGAGGCGGAGCGGAGUAGGGGGCCAUCCUUCAUGAGGCCCGUGUGAUGCUAGAGAAAAAUAUCCUCUUUUUGUUGGAUUUAUAAUUUUGUUGCUGUUCUGAACUAUUUGCUACAAUACCCUUCACCUAAACCGGCAUUCAAAUUAAAACGAACAAACUGUUCAUUUAC